CACGUAUUUAGCCGUCCCUUUCUGGUAAGAUACCGUCACUACUUGAACAGUUACUCUCAAGUACAUUCUUCUCUUACAACAGUACUUUACGAGCCGAAACCCUUCAUCACACACGCGGCGUUGCUCCAUCAGGCUUGCGCCCAUUGUGGAAGAUUCCCUACUGCUGCCUCCCGUAGGAGUAUGGGCCGUGUCUCAGUCCCAUUGUGGCCGAUCAGUCUCUCAACUCGGCUAUGCAUCAUCGUCAUGGUGAGCCAUUACCUCACCAUCUAACUAAUGCACCGCGGGACCAUCUCUUAGUGAUAGCAGAACCAUCUUUCAAAUGAAAACCCAUGCGGUUUUCAGUAUUAUACGGUAUUAGCAUCUGUUUCCAAAUGUUAUCCCCUGCUAAGAGGUAGGUUUCCCACGUGUUACUCACCCGUUCGCCACUCCUUGCAUUGUUUUAAACUCAUAUUGUGUCAAGCACGCUAUUCAUUAAAACCACAAGGCGUUCG
rnacentral:rRNA from 1 species